AGCACAUCUUAUAAAGAUCUAAUACCAGUGUACUGACAUGUCCCGUUAUCUCAAGUCUGUGUAAGUUAUAAACAUUGGGUUUCUUUUAUCUCUUUGAUUCUCAUUCGUUAGAGAUGUGGGGAGAAGGGGCUUGAGCUCUUCAUGCACAACUAUUCUUGUUCUGUAUUCAUUAAAGUCACGUGACUCUCCACACCCUUUACAUAUUCCCGAAUAAAACAAAACGCCCCUGUAUCUGCAACAGGAGACACACUCCUGGCGUGUUUCUAGUUCCCCAGACAGUCGAUGAACAAUUAUGUCAUUACAUCGCCACAUUACGAGAUGCUGACAUUUCCUCAACGCUGGUCGACCUAAAAACAAUUGAUCUUAACGUCUCUCAAAGUUUUGUAGACUCACAUCCUUAGGUACAGUCGCGUGGCCUGUUAGCAUUUUCUCUAAGCAGUGCGCAUGCCCGGAAGUUCAGAUAUGAAAAACUCCACAAAGCGAGGCUUGCCAUUGGCUGGCAACCAUAUUACGACACCAUCAAUUUAAUUGCUACUUUCCAACAGGUGAUUUCAGUUCUGCCACACCCUUCUACCUAAGUCUUCUACAUUCAAACAAAAUUUAUUUCAGAACUAUUAGAGCUCACCAAGUUUCACAGGACAUCACAUCUAUUAAGAAACAGGGGCAGUGAUCGAAACAUGCAGGUCUUUGUUCUAAGUUGUCUCCUCCUGAUGGCUGGCCUGUCUUCUGCCUCUGCAGACUGUAUGCGGGAUUGUCUACAAAAACAAUGCCCAAUGGCAUUAGCGCCAACGCAUUUCUUUGGUUUUGGCUACGAGUAUGGUCGUGGCUGUCUGGAAGAGUUCGCCAAGUGCCGUGAGCAAUGCAAAGAAAAUCAUGAGAAUUAACUGUUGUAUGAGCCUGGUGGUGGCGCUGCUCACGAGAGAGGACAUUUUCUAAUGAAACUUUAGUUUAGGCUUGUUGAAAUAAAUGUUUUAUUCUUCUGUCUUGGCUGAAUCAAAACAAGUAAAAAUAUUGAUAUUCACUAAAUUACUUUGAAAAUAAUAAAAUAUAAUUUCAACUUUA